UACGUAGGGCGCAAGCGUUGUCCGGAUUUAUUGGGCGUAAAGAGCUCGUAGGCGGUUUGUCGCGUCUUCCGUGAAAACUGGGGGCUUAACUUCCAGCUUGCGGUGGAUACGGGCUGACUGGAGUGCGGCAGGGGAGACUGGAAUUCCUGGUGUAGCGGUGAAGUGCGCAGAUAUCAGGAGGAACACCGGUGGCGAAGGCGGGUCUCUGGGCCGUUACUGACGCUGAGGAGCGAAAGCGUGGGGAGCGAACAGG
rnacentral:rRNA from 1 species